GGUUUGAACCCCUUUGACCUGAAUAUGUGUAACUUCCCAACUGGUGCAGGUCAUUACAUGUGGUGUGUGUCCCAUUGAAUCAACCCUGUUCUUUCCCUCUGUCAUGCUUUCUACUUCUUCCUGGGUCAUCUCUCCCCAUCACUUGCCUUGGUAGUCACUGCCCUGGAUCUCUUUCCCCAGCAGUGAUGGCCUGGGUUUUCUUUUGGGCAAUCCACCCCUAUCCCUGUCCUGCAGGCUGUGUGGAUGGUCACCUGGGUGGCUGUAGUGACCCUGAGUGUGGAUUUGGGCCUGGCUGUGGGUGUGGUCUUCUCCAUGAUGACUGUGGUCUGCCGCACCCGGAGCUCCUCCAGGUCCCGGGGCUCUGCAUCCUGAGCUAUCCAACACCACUGUACUUUGGGACCCGUGGGCAGUUUCGCCGCAACCUAGAGUGGCACCUGGGGCUCGGAGAAGGAGAAAAGGAGACUUUAAAGCCAGAUGGCCCAACGGUUGCAGGUGAGAUGGGGUGACAAGAAGGAAGAUUUGGGUAUGUUGCAUGGUGGCACCUGGGUACUCCUGUCUUCUCCCACUCUAGUUGCUGAGCCUGACAGGGUGGUCCUAGACUUCAGUGGUGUCACCUUUGCAGAUGCUGCUGGGGCCAGAGAAGUGGUGCAGCUGGCCAGCCGAUGUCGAGAUGCUAGGAUCGGCCUCCUCCUGGCUCAGGGUAAUGGUGAGAUGUGUGGAGAAGAGCGGGGCCCAGUGCCUGGGCAAUGACUGGACACGUGCGGGAGGGAAAAGGACCCAGUGUGGACUUA
rnacentral:sRNA from 1 species